rnacentral:rRNA from 1 species
CAAAAGCUUGGUUCUGACUUUACUAUCGCCUUUAGCUGCACUUACACAUGCAAGUAUCCGCGCCCCUGUGAGAAUGCCCACAACCCCCCGCCCGGGGAGUUUGGAGCCGGUAUCAGGCACACUCCUUAAGCCCACAACACCUUGCUCAGCCACACCCCCAAGGGACUUCAGCAGUGAUAAACAUUGGGCCAUAAGUGAAAACUUGACUCAAUUAAAGCUAUUUAGGGCCGGUCAAAAUUCGUGCCAGCCACCGCGGUUAAACGAAAGUAGCCCGAGCUGAUAGACAACGGCACAAAAGGUGGCUAGGGAACACAUAAACUAAAGCCGAACACUCACUCCUCACUGUAUUAACGUACGCGAAGAGCAUGAAGAUCAUUUACGAAAGUAGCUUUAUUUCACCUGAAACCCACGAAAGCUAAGAAACAAACUGGGAUUAGAUACCCCACUAUGCUUAGCCCUAAACAAUGAUCAUACCCCCAAAUAUAUCUGCCAGGGGAGUACGAACAAUAGUUUAAAACCCAAAGGACUUGGCGGUGCUUAGACCCCCUAGAGGAGCCUGUUAUAUAACCGAUAAUCCCCGUUAAACCUCACCCUCUCUUGCCAGAUCAGCUUAUAUACCGCCGUCGCAAGCCCACCCUGCAAAGGAUAAACAGUGGGCAAAAUUGGCACCGCCCCAGACGUCAGGUCGAGGUGUAGCACAUGAGAGGGGAUCUAAUGGGCUACACUCACUGUCAACAGUACUUACGGAAGUGUCAUUUAAACAUGAAACUGA